AUGUACCCACGUACACUCCGGUUCCUCCGCGCCGUCCGCACCUGCCUGACGACUGCUCGCUACGUUUUGUUAGCC
rnacentral:sRNA from 1 species